CAGUAGAGAACUCUACUGCGCAGUCUCCCCCAGUCAAGGCGCAACUUCUUGCACAACUUUUACUAUGGAAUUCUAUCCGUCGGAUAGGAUUUUUGUCAAUUUCUUGUACCAGUACCACCAGUGGAACUUUAUCGUCUAAAAUUCCAGAUUGCUCACUUGACAUUUAUUUAUCAUAAAUUAAUGUUUCUAAUGAAUAUCACUCAUCUUUUCGAGAACAACCACGUUUUGCAAGGCUUCGGCGUCAUUUUUCUCGCUUGAUUUAUGCAAGGACCUUUGACCCUAAUUACCACGAAACACGAUCCCAUUCUACUUCACUCGUGAAACGUUCUCAGGAUGUAAUAUUACUCUGAACUCAUGAACUCUUUUAUAAAGUAUAUCAGUGCAAUUUGGCUUUUGCGGUCGGAAUACUAAAAAUAAAAUGUCGCCGGCGGAAAAACAUUUGGAAGGGCGAUAACCUCAAAAUGAUGACUAUAUGCGCCGAUACGCAAUUCGGUUAACGGAAUGUAUCCACUGUUUGCAUCUCGAUUACAUUACACUGCUGAGAAUUUUCAAGUACCUCUAGACCAUUGGAACCAGAGUUAGUAAUCUCUCAACUGGUUCUGUUUAUUCAAGGCUAAAGAAGAUGGCAACCUUUUUUCUCUACUCCUAAAAGACGCCUUGAGGGACCCCAUGGUGUCUAGAAAUUCUUGACGUCCCAACAACUUACGUUUAGUCAUAGUAAGAAGUGAAAAAAAAAAAACAUUCAAAGGUCGUAACCUUUCAACUGGUUUGGUCCAGUCUAGACAGAGAAUACAUCAAUCCACUACAUCCAAGAUGCAGUCAUAAGUAGCAUUCAUUUAUUUCGAGUCAUGAAUCAUCACUUUCCUCCAUUGUAAGCGAGUGUAUUCACGUACAAGGAAGAGUGAUAAAAUACGUAAGAGAAAAAAAACUCAUUCCUAACCUAUAUUUUGCUAUGAAAAUUACAAAUAAUAUCUCACUGGUUCAAGCUGGAAACUGGCGAUCUGCUAAAGUAAUAAUUUCGUUUCCCUCUCAUUGUCAAUUAGUACACGUAUAGUUAGGAAGUGCAUUCUAAUUUAUUAUUAAGGGAACAGGUGCAAUGUCUUUUUUUUUUAUUCUCCCCUUUAUUACCGCAUCCGCAUCGUGCAACCAGUAUGACAUACGAUUCUCAAGGUGCAAAAGGUCUUUUCGUGCAGUGCCAGAUUACGGAAGCCCUUCUCCCUUCUAACGUACUUUCAUAAUGUCAUUACACAAUGCAAAUAGCGAAACUCUGUACCGACUUCAGGGUGUAUCGUUAUAAUAAUGCUCCACUUCCUAUUGUUGAGCAUUAUAAAUCAGGUUUCAAUGGUAUAGCAAUCGGUUCACUAGUCAUUGUCUGAAAUUGGUCAAACGAUUGCUCUACGUUUUGUUACCUUCAUGAUUGCCUUUUUAGAAUUUUUUAAUAGAGCUAAUC